UACCAGCACCCCGAGUGGUCGGGACGUUUAUUGGGCCUAAAGCAUCCGUAGCCGGUUCUACAAGUCUUCCGUUAAAUCCAACUGCUUAACAGGUGGGCUGCGGAAGAUACUAUAGAGCUAGGAGGCGGGAGAGGCAAGCGGUACUCGAUGGGUAGGGGGUAAAAUCCGUUGAUCCAUUGAAGACCACCAGUGGCGAAGGCGGCUUGCCAGAACGCGCUCGACGGUGAGGGAU
rnacentral:rRNA from 1 species